CAGCAGCAGCCGCGGGAAUACAGAGGGUGCGAGCGUUAAUCGGAUUUACUGGGCGUAAAGCGUGCGUAGGCGGCUUUUUAAGUCGGAUGUGAAAUCCCUGAGCUUAACUUAGGAAUUGCAUUCGAUACUGGGAAGCUAGAGUAUGGGAGAGGAUGGUAGAAUUCCAGGUGUAGCGGUGAAAUGCGUAGAGAUCUGGAGGAAUACCGAUGGCGAAGGCAGCCAUCUGGCCUAAUACUGACGCUGAGGUACGAAAGCAUGGGGAGCAAACAGGAUUAGAUACCCGCGUAGUCCCUGUCUCUUAUAC
rnacentral:rRNA from 1 species